AUAAUAAGGGGGCAAACCCCGGGAAAUCGGGGGACGCAAAACUUUACCCGUCAGGGGCACAGAAUCUAUGUUACGGAA
rnacentral:ncRNA from 1 species